UUGCUGGGUGGAUCAGUGGCGAACGGGUGAGUAACACGUGAGCAACCUGCCCCUGACUCUGGGAUAAGCGCUGGAAACGGCGUCUAAUACUGGAUAUGUGACGUGACCGCAUGGUCUGCGUCUGGAAAGAAUUUCGGUUGGGGAUGGGCUCGCGGCCUAUCAGCUUGUUGGUGAGGUAAUGGCUCACCAAGGCGUCGACGGGUAGCCGGCCUGAGAGGGUGACCGGCCACACUGGGACUGAGACACGGCCCAGACUCCUACGGGAGGCAGCAGUGGGGAAUAUUGCACAAUGGGCGCAAGCCUGAUGCAGCAACGCCGCGUGAGGGAUGACGGCCUUCGGGUUGUAAACCUCUUUUAGCAGGGAAGAAGCGAAAGUGACGGUACCUGCAGAAAAAGCGCCGGCUAACUACGUGCCAGCAGCCGCGGUAAUACGUAGGGCGCAAGCGUUAUCCGGAAUUAUUGGGCGUAAAGAGCUCGUAGGCGGUUUGUCGCGUCUGCUGUGAAAUCCCGAGGCUCAACCUCGGGCCUGCAGUGGGUACGGGCAGACUAGAGUGCGGUAGGGGAGAUUGGAAUUCCUGGUGUAGCGGUGGAAUGCGCAGAUAUCAGGAGGAACACCGAUGGCGAAGGCAGAUCUCUGGGCCGUAACUGACGCUGAGGAGCGAAAGGGUGGGGAGCAAACAGGCUUAGAUACCCUGGUAGUCCACCCCGUAAACGUUGGGAACUAGUUGUGGGGUCCAUUCCACGGAUUCCGUGACGCAGCUA
rnacentral:rRNA from 1 species